AGUACUAUUCAGCCAUAAAAAACUGAGAUCCUGUCAUUUGCAACAAUAUAGUUGGAUCUAAUAACCUGACGUUUCUUUUCUUUUCUUUUUUUUCUUUUUUCUUUUUUUUUUUGAGACGGAGUCACGCUCUGUCGCCCAGGUUGGAGUGCAGUGGCGCGAUCUCGGCUCAUUGCAACCUCCGCCUCCCGGUAAUAACCAGACAUUUCUUGAUGACCACAACAAGGAGGAGUGGGGGGUUGUGUCCUCUGAUGGAAUUCAGAUAAGAUGUGUUCCCCAGGCCAGCAGUCCUUCAUGCUGCUUGUCAUAAGGAGAAAAGAAUAUGGAGAGAGCAGCAUAGAUGCAAAUCAGCCUUUACUCGUUGGAAGACCAUUGCUGGCAGGAACCUAACUGAAACAGAGCCAACAGCUUAUGAAAAACAACCAGCCAGCAGCUUCUUCCCAACCAACUCAACAGCAAACCUGUAGCAUUGUGUGGCCAGGUGCCAUGGCUCACGCCUGUAAUCCCAGCACUUUUGGAGGCUGAGGCAGGAGGUUCGCUUGAGUCCAGGAGUUCAAGACCUAUAGCAUUGUGUAUUUUGCUUUUCAUCUUCUCUACUCUCCCUCUGGGAGUUUAAACAAUAGAACACUGAUUGGAAGACAGAAACAAGAUGUUAGGAAACUCGGGAAACCUGGAGCAAACAGUUGCCUCUGAAAGGAUUUCACUGCUUUUGAGAGGUGACAGCGUGCUGGCAGUCCUCACAGCCCUUGCUCGCUCUCGGCGCCUCCUCUGC
rnacentral:lncRNA from 1 species